CUGGCUCAGGAUGAACGCUAGCUACAGGCUUAACACAUGCAAGUCGAGGGGCAUCAUGAUCAAAGUUGCUUGAUUGAUGGCGACCGGCGCACGGGUGAGUAACGCGUAUCCAACCUUCCCCCCAGUAGGGCAUAGCCCGGCGAAAGUCGGAUUAAUACCCUAUGUUUUUCCAAUGAGGACAUCUGAGCUGGAACAAAGAUUUAUCGCUGGGGGAUGGGGAUGCGUCCGAUUAGGUUGUUGGCGGGGUAACGGCCCACCAAGCCCGCGAUCGGUAGGGUUCUGAGAGGAAGGUCCCCCACACUGGUACUGAGACACGGACCAGACUCCUACGGGAGGCAGCAGUGAGGAAUAUUGGUCAAUGGGCGUAAGCCUGAACCAGCCAAGUAGCGUGCAGGACGACGGCCCUAUGGGUUGUAAACUGCUUUUAUGCGGGGAUAAAGUGAGGUAUGUAUACCUUUUUGUAGGUACCGCAUGAAUAAGGACCGGCUAAUUCCGUGCCAGCCGCGGC
rnacentral:rRNA from 1 species